rnacentral:lncRNA from 1 species
AAUUCCAGCGCUGUCAUUAUAUAUAUAUAUAUACGGUAGGCCUAUAUAAUAAUUAAAUAUCAUUACAUUUUAGGUCCGUUAUGCCUUUAGAAAGCAUUGCUGUGGCAACAAAAACCGAAUUUCAUCAUCAAAGUCCUCUGCUGAAGUUACCCAGACAGCCAAUCUGUCUUUUCGAUUUACAUGAAGUAUGUUGAUUCAAACGAAGUACAGUAUUCAACUUUUAAAGGCCAGAAGACAACUUUUUAAAUUAGAGGACCACCUCACGAUCCAAUACGGAUCCCCAAUUUGUAUUUUAUAUAAUCUUGUUUAUUAUUAUUGUUGUUGUUGUUAUUAUUAAUACUAAUUAUUCAAAAAAUAGCUCAUCUGUUUUGGAGUACAAAUGUAAUUCAUUGUAACAGUUCAUUGUUACAGUAUUAAUUAUUGUAGUUGUGUCGUUGAAUUAUUUUAAAUAACACAUUUAACAUUAAAUUUAAACAUUUAAUUAUUAUUAUUAUUAUUAUUAUUAUUAGAUGUGGGUUUGCGUCAGUAAAUAUCAUAGGAGUGAUGAUUUGCGAAUUUUUUCGCUAGUAUUUGUAUAACAUGUCAGGUAGGGCAAAUCAUCACUCCUAUUAUUAUAGGCAGACUUGUUUCAAACUUAGUUUUUCAGGAGUUUUAGUAAUUCAGUAUAUAAUUAAAUCCAGAGAAUCAGUUGUAAGCAAUGGCGUAACUACGGGCAGUGCAGCCAGGGUUAUUAGGGGCCCAUUCACAAAUAGAUCUAAAAAUAUUAAUUUUAAAUAAUUUCCAACUUUUUUUGAAGAAUGAAAUGGCCAGCGGACCCCUCAAUAAUAUUCAGUUUUUAGAGGAGUAAUUAUUGAUUACUGUGUUGAUUUCAAAUACGUGGUGUAUUCAAGGGUUCCCAGCCAGCUCACCCCACCCUAAUUUUUUUUCUUAAUUAUAAAAGAAAUGAGAAAAAAGGAAAUAUGAUGUUAAAAAUUGAAGUCUGAGUAUGUCAUUUCCGGCCAUCUAGAGGUGCUAUAAUCAUAACUUUCCUUGCCUUGUGAUCUUCACCCUUCCUGGCUACUUUAUUUCGAAUUCCCUUACCUGCCACUGCAGUUGUUAAAUUUUAUGUGCCAACAAUUUUCUUGAUUAGUUUAAAACAGCCUCUGAGACCGAAUAUAAUAUGCCCCUCUUCAAAUAGUUAAGAAUCUGAUCAUCAUUAGUAAUUAUUACUAGCCUAGGCCUUUAGGAAUAGAGGGUAAAAGAAGCAUUUCUUACGAUGAAUUAUAUUUAAGGAAUUCCCUUGCCACAUCAAAGGGCACUGGGGCCUUUUUUUCGCACCUAGCUACGCCGCUGGUUGUAAGAUCACGUUCGCUGAAUGCAUUUAGUUACAUUUUUCUCAUGUACUACAUGUAGCGGAUGUCUUUUACAAACAGAAGUCUGCUUGAGACUGCUAAUUUUGAUUUUAUUUGGUAAUUUAAGUUUACUAGUUGUAGUUAAGGACCCUGUAAGACUUAAAAAUCAUAUGUUAGUAUCAUUAAUAUUUUAUAACUAUUUUUAUCAUCUUACUUGUGAAAGGAAGUCAAAUUGAUACAAAUUAAUUAUGUUUACAAAUUGUAUCAUGGCCUCCCCCUCUUUAUUCGGAGCAACUUUUAUUCUAUGUUAUAUGCUAAAAAGUUACUUAUUACAUUGUACAGUAAAUAUCUUCAAAUGUGUAACUGGUUUUAAAUACACUACAAAUACUUACACAA